AUAAAAAAUACGUACCAAAACCGAAAAACACGUUUCCUAAAAGAAGAAAAACAUCUAUCAUUCCCUUAAGGGUUAAUCUUCUCCCCUUAACCCUAACUCCCUAACUCUCUCACUGUGUAUCUCGUUUCUCUGAUUUCAAAUCCAUAGCGUCGUCGCCGACCGCCUUUCUACUGUCCAGCGCCGAUGAAGUCCACAAAACUACAACAAUCCCGACCGUCGUCUGUGGUGAAAGAGCAGGGUCGGCCCUGUCAUAAGGCCAACAAGGCCAUCGCAUAGGGCCUCAAUUUUUUUGGGGCCUCGUGAGAAAAAUCUGAUCAUAUGAGUCACAAUCCGCCUAAUGCUUAAACAAACCUAUGGGUUUUAGUUAGAAAAAGAGGGAGAGAAGCGUUGAUUUAUACUCCCCAGUUUUGCCAACCACCGCAGCCACUGGAGGGUUCGAAGAAGGAAGAUACUGCUGCCGUCGCCACCACACUUGCCACUGGAGGAUGCCAAGACGGUAGAAAAGAGGUUGUUAAAGAAGGAAAAAAGAAGAAGAGAAGGUCUGUUACAUUUCCAUUUUGUUCAAUAAUUUGCUUAGGAUACUGAUUUGUGUCGUCAAUAAAUCCAAAUAGAUGUUCCCUUUAUUUUCUAUUUGGGUACUUGAAUUUCUAGGGUCUAUCCAUUUAAAAAUAAUAAAUUUCCCUAAAAAUAGCUCAUUUUUUGUUUUGAUUUACACAAAUUAUAGGUUUCUGGUAGUGCUAAAAAUAUUAAUCUGCUAAUUGGCAUUUAAUAAAGGGAAAAAGAGCAAGAAGUAAGCAAAAUGCAUUUUAGGUAGGUAGAUGGAG
rnacentral:lncRNA from 1 species